rnacentral:rRNA from 1 species
GACGAACGCUGGCGGCGUGCUUAACACAUGCAAGUCGAGCGGUAAGGCCCUUUCGGGGGUACGACGAGCGGCGAACGGGUGAGUAACACGUGGGUGACCUGCCCUCAGCUCUGGGAUAAGCCUGGGAAACCGGGUACUAAUACCGGAUAUGACUCCAUGACGCAUGUUGUGGGGUGGAAAGCCUUGUGCGGCUGAGGAUGGGCCCGCGGCCUAUCAGCUUGUUGGUGGGGUGAUGGCCUACCAAGGCGACGACGGUAGCCGGCCUGAGAGGGCGACCGGCCACACUGGGACUGAGACACGGCCCAGACUCCUACGGGAGGCAGCAGUGGGGAAUCUUGCGCAAUGGGCGAAAGCCUGACGCAGCGACGCCGCGUGAGGGAUGACGGCCUGUGUAAC